rnacentral:lncRNA from 1 species
UUUUUUUUUUAUCAUCACCUGCGUUGUUACUACCGUUUUCUGAUUUUAAUACACCAUUUUUUUUUUGUUGAGGGGGCUAGCUGUUAUGCUACCUACAAUGUUCGGUUCAGAAUUUUGGAGAUCAAAUUGAAAAUGUUUGCUACUUUGUAGUGAGUCUGCUAAGGAUCCGAUAGUGAUGUGAUUGAAACUCCGGUGAGCAAACAAGGCUUAAAGAGGUUGUCAAGUGCUGCAGAACUCUACCUGUAAAAUUAUGAGCUUCUGCAUGACGCUUUUUCCAAUUUUUAGGUCACAUCUUGAUCGCCCUCUCCUCAAUUAUUCAAGAACGAGAAAGUUUUAAUGCAGAAAAAUCCUCAACAUUCUACUCAGUCAGUGAUGAAGAAAAGGAGUGAAGACAAAUACGUUUUCUGAAGUUUGGUAGCCUUUUCAUGUUUAAGGUCUCCGAUGACAUUCCUUUGGCCAAAAGUCUCCUAAUAUGCCUUAUUGGUUUUUGUUUCCUUUUUAGAUUUACUUUUGAUACAUUAGUUGACAUGUAAAGAGAGAAGAAAUAGACCAUAAACAUGUAAGCAUUUGGUCUGUUUUAAGCUAGAGGUCCACAUUUAUUUUAUAGUCGAAUCAUUAAAUAUAUAUUAUUGUAAAUUAUUAGUGUAAAUUGAAACACUUGCCUUGCAUGCAUAAAUGUAGCCGUUGAAAUUGUCUUC